UUCACACAGUGGGCCAAUCUCAGUUUUAAAGGUGCAUAUUUUGUGUGGAGGAGGAAGAGUUCUAGGAACAGGAGGAGCUGAUGGAACCAUGAAGGUUUGGGAUUUAGAACAUCAGUAUUAUACUCAUAACUUCAGGACAGGGAAUGGAGUUUGUUCGGUUAUAGAGUUCCAUCCAGUCAAGGCAAUC